UACGUAGGGGGGCAAGCGUUGUCCGGAUUUAUUGGGCGUAAAGAGCGUGUAGGCGGCUAGGUAGGUCUGUUGUGAAAACUCGAGGCUCAACCUCGAGACGCCGAUGGAAACCAUCUAGCUAGAGUCCGGAAGAGGAGAGUGGAAUUCCUGGUGUAGCGGUGAAAUGCGCAGAUAUCAGGAAGAACACCCGUGGCUAAGGCGGCUCUCUGGGACGGUACUGACGCUGAGACGCGAAAGCGUGGGGAGCGAACAGG
rnacentral:rRNA from 1 species